rnacentral:rRNA from 1 species
AACGAACGCUGGCGGCAUGCCUAACACAUGCAAGUCGAACGAGACCUUCGGGUCUAGUGGCGCACGGGUGCGUAACGCGUGGGAACCUGCCCUUAGGUUCGGAAUAACUCCCCGACAGGGGUGCUAAUACCGGAUAAUGUCUUCGGACCAAAGAUUUAUCGACUUUGGAUGGGCCCGCGUUGGAUUAGCUAGUUGGUAGGGUAAAAGCCUACCAAGGCGACGAUCCAUAGCUGGUCUGAGAGAAUGAUCAGCCACACUGGGACUGAGACACGGCCCAGACUCCUACGCGAGGCAGCAGUGGGGAAUAUUGGACAAUGGGCGAAAGCCUGAUCCAUCAAUGCCGCGUGAGUGAUGAAGGCCUUAGGGUUGUAAAGCUCUUUUACCCGGGAUGAUAAUGACAGUACCGGGAGAAUAAGCCCCGGCUAACUCCGUG